rnacentral:rRNA from 1 species
UACGGAGGGGGCUAGCGUUGUUCGGAAUUACUGGGCGUAAAGCGCACGUAGGCGGCUUGGUAAGUUAGAGGUGAAAGCCUGGAGCUCAACUCCAGAAUUGCCUUUAAGACUGCCUCGCUUGAACGUCGGAGAGGUGAGUGGAAUUCCGAGUGUAGAGGUGAAAUUCGUAGAUAUUCGGAAGAACACCAGUGGCGAAGGCGGCUCACUGGACGACUGUUGACGCUGAGGUGCGAAAGCGUGGGGAG